rnacentral:rRNA from 1 species
CCGCCGGCGACCGGCGCACGGGUGAGUAACACGUAUGCAACCUGGCCGUGACAGAUGGAUAACCGGGAGAAAUCCCGCCUAAUACAACAUAAUGCCGGGAGGGGACAUCCCCUGCCGGCCAAAGGGGGCGACCCCGGUCACGGAUGGGCAUGCGGCGCAUUAGGUAGUUGGUGGGGCAACGGCCCACCAAGCCGACGAUGCGUAGGGGUUCUGAGAGGAAGGUCCCCCACAUUGGAACUGAGACACGGACCAGACUCCUACGGGAGGCAGCAG